rnacentral:rRNA from 1 species
UACGUAGGGCGCAAGCGUUAUCCGGAAUUAUUGGGCGUAAAGAGCUCGUAGGCGGGUCUGUUGCGUCCGCUGUGAAAACUCGGGGCUUAACCCCGAGCCUGCAGUGGAUACGGGCAGACUAGAGGUAGGUAGGGGAGAAUGGAAUUCCUGGUGUAGCGGUGAAAUGCGCAGAUAUCAGGAGGAACACCGGUGGCGAAGGCGGUUCUCUGGGCCUUACCUGACGCUGAGGAGCGAAAGCGUGGGGAGCAAACAGG